ensembl:lncRNA
ACUUUGCCUGCGAGCUGACUAGAGAGAGGAGCUUAACUGCUUGGCUCUCUGCAAGUCACAGGCAUGGCUGCUUUCUGGGGAAUGAUCUUCCUCAGCAUGGCGGAUGAUAGUAUCUUCUACCCCAUCCUUUGGAUCAUGCUGAUCAUAUCAUUAUUUGUAUCUGUUAUGGCCUUGUGGAAGUGGAAGAAAGAGAGACAGAGGAAGUGCCAACACAGAGGUAACCAUGAAAAUUCUAGAGUUUGGGACUUCCGCACGUCUUCACAGCACUUGAGGAUGCACUCCUCAGUGCCCAGGAAAAUGAAUAAGAACUGUGAAAUACUCGACCAGUUCAACAGACGUCUUCAGGCCUUGACCAGAUGCAUGGCGAUGCUCACCUUGGAACUGCCUGAGGGCAGCGAUGAUUCCACCAGCUCGGUCACAGUGAGUGAAAACCGCUGCUCUUUGAGGACAUCGCUGUAUCCGUUGAGCACCAGUUGGGGGGAAAUGGAGGCACCUUACCGACACCCAAAAGCCCAGGAGAACUUGGAAAGCUCCAUCCCAGAAAGGAAAGCGGAGCAGGGACUGGGCCUCAGUGAUCAGAGAAAGCCUGAUGUGAUGGUGGCUCCCACGGUGCAGGACCUGCCCUUAGAGGAUGAGGCUAUGCAAAGUCAUUUGGAGCAUCCUAACAUAAAAAUGCAGGCACCACAGUUCCUGAAGAGGAGUUUCUCAGAGCCUGUCCUGGGUCAGAGAGACUCCCAGCUUCCCCAUCCUCUGAGGCACUCAAGGAGGCCCACUUACUCGCUCUUCCAGCGUGGGCAUGGGCAAGCUCUGGCAAGGAGGUCAGCAGCAUGGGCCCUUGUCCCACGGCGAAAAUCUGCCCCCGAGACAGAUAAGUGCAGACAAGAAACAAGGAUUCCAGUCCACAUUGCCUGCUGCAGAAUCUAUGAAGGCCCUGAUGACCAUCAGAUCAAGAUGAUGCAUCUGUGGCUGGAGCAAUAUGAAUAUGUUGAGAGGCGAAAGUUGGAAUUUUAUAGAGACUACUACACCCAGCCUAACAACGAAGGAUCCCAGGGCGUGGCUCCAUCUGACACUGCAGCCCCGGUUGUUGCAGGAGGAGCAACAGUUCGAGAGAGGAAUUCACCCGAGGUCAAGGCCAGUGAGCAACAGGACAAGAAAAAUACCACUGCUGCCCAGCAGCCAGAGGGGCUCCCUGAACGUACCCUCGUGGAGAGUUCUUCGGUUCUGCCAUGGAGGCGUCUGCCACCGGGUAGACCAUUCAGACCCCAAGCAGCACACGCAGAGAUGACGCCCAGGCAAGAAGCAGCAGAACACACGACUCCUAGACCAGAGACACCACCUGUGCUGUGCAGAAACUGCUGUGCACCAGCCCUCCUGUGCCAUUUCAUUCAGAAUGCCGGGGCCAAGCUCCGAGCUGCCUGCAUGGCCCUCUAUUCCCUGAUCAGAAAGGCAACUAAGAAGCUCUCAAAGAAGGGAAGAGAGCCCAUCAUGAAAAACAGAUCCUUAGAGCAGGCCAGGCUGGACACAGAUCAACGUAGGAGUAGACGAUCACUGAGUCUACUGG